rnacentral:rRNA from 1 species
GGGUAAUGACCCAAACCUAUAUGGCCCCUGGAUUGGACUGCGGCCGAUCAGGCUGUUGGUGAGGUAAUGGCCCACCAAACCUGUAACCGGUACGGGCUCUGAGAGGAGGAGCCCGGAGAUGGGCACUGAGACAAGGGCCCAGGCCCUAUGGGGCGCAGCAGGCGCGAAACCUCUGCAAUAGGCGAAAGCUUGACAGGGUUACUCUGAGUGAUUUCCGUUAAGGAGAUCUUUUGGCACCUCUAAAAAUGGUGCAGAAUAAGGGGUGGGCAAGUCUGGUGUCAGCCGCCGCGGUAAUACCAGCACCCCGAGUGGUCGGGACGUUUAUUGGGCCUAAAGCAUCCGUAGCCGGUUCUACAAGUCUUCCGUUAAAUCCACCUGCUUAACAGAUGGGCUGCGGAAGAUACUAUGGAGCUAGGAGGCGGGAGAGGCAAGCGGUACUCGAUGGGUAGGGGUAAAAUCCGUUGAUCCAUUGAAGACCACCAGUGGCGAAGGCGGCUUGCCUGAACGCGCUCGACGGUGAGGGAUGAA